AUUGAACGCUAGCGGGAUGCCUUACACAUGCAAGUCGAACGGAGUGGCGAACGGGUGAGUAAUGUAUCGGAACGUGCCCAGUAGCGGGGGAUAACUACGCGAAAGCGUAGCUAAUACCGCAUACAAUUGGACCGGCCGAUAUCGGAUUAGCUAGUUGGUUGGGUAACGGCUAACCAAGGCGAGGAUCCGUAGAGGGUUUGGGGGGAAGACCAGCCACACUGGAACUUAGACACGGCCCAGACUCCUACGGGAGGCAGCAGUGGGGAAUUUUGGACAAUGGGGGAAACCCUGAUCCAGCCAUCCCGCGUGUGCGAUGAAGGCCUUCGGGUUGUAAAGCACUUUUGGCAGGAAAGCGGUACCUGCAGAAUAAGCACCGGCUAACUACGUGCCAGCCGCCGCGGUAAUAC
rnacentral:rRNA from 1 species